UGGGGAAUUUUGCACAAUGGGCGCAAGCCUGAUGCAGCGACGCCGCGUGAGGGAUGAAGGCCUUCGGGUUGUAAACCUUUUUCGCUCAUGGUCAAGCCGCAGCUUUGGGUUGUGGUGAGGGUAGUGGGUAAAGAAGCGCCGGCUAACUACGUGCCAGCAGCCGCGGUAAUACGUAGGGCGCGAGCGUUGUCCGGAAUUAUUGGGCGUAAAGGGCUUGUAGGCGGAAAUGCAAGUCAGGUGUAAAAGGCAGUAGCUUAACUACUGUAAGCAUUUGAAACUGCAUAUCUUGAGAAGAGUAGAGGUAAGUGGAAUUUUUAGUGUAGCGGUGAAAUGCGUAGAUAUUAAAAAGAAUACCGGUGGCGAAGGCGGCUUACUGGACGAAAACUGACGUUGAGGCUCGAAGGCGUGGGGAGCAAACAGG
rnacentral:rRNA from 1 species